AAAACCUAUACCCCUUGACGGCCUUCUUUCUAAUCAAAGGAACUUGUUUCUUAAUCGAGAUUACACGCUAAUUUUUUCUUCUCCUGAAGUUUUUAUACCGUCGUCUUAAGAAUACACCCUUAAGUUUAUUCCAAAUUAAUUAGUUAAAUAAGUCAGAUCAAGGUGAAGCCUAUGGAGUAGACCACAAUGAGUUAUUUAUAAAAAUAAUUUAUAAAUUUAUAUUUUAAAAAAUAAAUGAAUUAAGAUUUGAAAGUAUUAUUAAAUUAACAAUUUACAAAGAG
rnacentral:rRNA from 1 species